UACGUAGGGCGCGAGCGUUGUCCGGAAUUAUUGGGCGUAAAGAGCUCGUAGGCGGCCUGUCGCGUCGGUUGUGAAAACCCGGGGCUCAACCCCGGGCCUGCAUUCGAUACGGGCAGACUAGAGUUCGGUAGGGGAGUCUGGAAUUCCUGGUGUAGCGGUGAAAUGCGCAGAUAUCAGGAGGAACACCGGUGGCGAAGGCGGGACUCUGGGCCGAUACUGACGCUGAGGAGCGAAAGCGUGGGGAGCAAACAGG
rnacentral:rRNA from 1 species